GCUUGUCUCAAAGAUUAAGCCAUGCAUGUCUAAGUAUAAAUGGUAUACAGUGAAACUGCGAAUGGCUCAUUAAAACAGUUAUAGUUUAUUUGGUAAUCGAAUUUACAUGGAUAACCGUGGUAAUUCUAGAGCUAAUACAUGCUGUAAAGCCCGACUUUUCGGAAGGGCCGUAUUUAUUAGAUAACAGACCAAUAUUCCUCGUGUCUAUUGUGGUGAAUCAUAGUAACUUUUCGAAUCGCAUGGCUUCACGCCGGCGAUAGUUCAUUCAAAUUUCUGCCCUAUCAGCUUUCGACGGUAGUGUAGUGGACUACCGUGGCGUUAACGGGUAACGGAGAAUUAGGGUUCGAUUCCGGAGAGGGAGCCUGAGAAACGGCUACCACAUCUAAGGAAGGCAGCAGG
rnacentral:rRNA from 1 species